rnacentral:rRNA from 1 species
GUGCCAGCAGCCGCGGUAAUACAGAGGUGGCGAGCGUUGUUCGGAUUUACUGGGCGUAAAGGGUGCGUAGGAGGUCGGGUGUGUCGGAUGUGAAAUCUUGCUGUUCAUCGGCAAAACUGCAUUCGAAACUGCCCGGCUUGAGUGCAGGAGAGGAGAGCGGAAUUCUCGGUGUAGCGGUGAAAUGCGUUGAGAUCGAGAGGAACGCCGGUGGCGAAGGCGGCUCUCUGGACUGUAACUGACUCUGAGGCACGAAAGAUGGGGGAGCAAACAGGAUUAGAUACCCUGGUAGUCCCAUCCGUAAACGGUGUGCACUUGGUGUGGGAGGAUUUAUCCCCUUCCGUGCCGGAGCUAACGCGUUAAGUGCACCGCCUGGGGAGUACGGCCGCAAGGCUAAAACUCAAAGAAAUUGACGGGGGCCCGCACAAGCGGUGGAGCAUGUGGCUUAAUUCGAUGCAACGCGAAGAACCUUACCAAGGCUUGACAUGCACUUGCACGUUCUGCGAAAGCAGAACUCCUUCGAGGGUAGUGCACAGGUGCUGCAUGGCUGUCGUCAGCUCGUGCCGUGAGGUGUUUGGUUAAGUCCAGCAACGAGCGCAACCCUUGUGAAUAGUUGCUCAUUUUCGGAUAGCACUCUAUUCAGACUGCCUGUGAUAAGCAGGAGGAAGGUGGGGAUGACGUCAAGUCCGUAUGGCCUUUAUGCCUUGGGCUGCACACGUGCUACAAUGAACGGUACAGAAAGAAGCAAGACCGCGAGGUGGAGCUAAUCUCCAAAACCGUUCCCAGUUCAGAUUGGAGUCUGAAACUCGACUCCAUGAAGCCGGAAUCGCUAGUAAUGGCGCAUCAGCUACGGCGCCGUGAAUACGUUCCCGGGCCUUGUACACACCGCCCGUCACAUCAUGAAAGCCGAUUGCACCCGAAAUGGUCGAUUCAACCCGCAAGGGGGAUAGAUCCCUAAGGUGUGGUUGGUGAUUGGGAUGAAGUCGUAACAAGGUAACC